AUUGAACGCUGGCGGCAGGCCUAACACAUGCAAGUCGAGCGGAAACGAGUUAUCAGAACCUUCGGGGGACGAUAACGGCGUCGAGCGGCGGACGGGUGAGUAAUGCCUAGGAAAUUGCCCUGAUGUGGGGGAUAACCAUUGGAAACGAUGGCUAAUACCGCAUGAUGCCUACGGGCCAAAGAGGGGGACCUUCGGGCCUCUCGCGUCAGGAUAUGCCUAGGUGGGAUUAGCUAGUUGGUGAGGUAAGGGCUCACCAAGGCGACGAUCCCUAGCUGGUCUGAGAGGAUGAUCAGCCACACUGGAACUGAGACACGGUCCAGACUCCUACGGGAGGCAGCAGUGGGGAAUAUUGCACAAUGGGCGCAAGCCUGAUGCAGCCAUGCCGCGUGUGUGAAGAAGGCCUUCGGGUUGUAAAGCACUUUCAGUUGUGAGGAAGGCGGUGUAGUUAAUAGCUGCAUCGUUUGACGUUAGCGACAGAAGAAGCACCGGCUAACUCCGUGCCAGCAGCCGCGGUAAUACGGAGGGUGCGAGCGUUAAUCGGAAUUACUGGGCGUAAAGCGCAUGCAGGUGGUUUGUUAAGUCAAUGUGAAAGCCCGGGGCUCAACCUCGGAAUUGCAUUUGAAACUGGCAGACUAGAGUACUGUAGAGGGGGGGUAGAAUUUUCAGGUGUAGCGGUGAAAUGCGUAGAGAUCUGAAAGGAAUACCCGGUGGGCGAAGCGGCCCCCUGGACAGAUACUGACACUCAGAUGCGAAAACGUGGGGAGCAAACAGG
rnacentral:rRNA from 1 species